rnacentral:rRNA from 1 species
AAUAUUUGACAAGGGUCGAAAGGCUGAUCCAGCAUGGCCUCGUGUGUGAAGUUGGUCUUCUGUAUGUAAAGCACUUUACGUUGGGAGGAAGGGCAAUAGUUUAAUACCUUGCUGAUUUGACUAUACCGACAGAAUAAGCACUGGCUAACUUCGAGCCAUCAGCAGCGGUAAUACGAAGGGUGCAAGCGUUAAUCGGAAUUACUGGUCGUAAAGCGCGCGUAGGUGGUUUGUUAAGUUGGAAGUGAAAGCCCCGGGCUCAACCUGGGAACUGCUUUCAAAACUGGCAAGCUAGAGUAUGGCAGAGGGUGGUGGAAUUUCCUGUGUAGCGGUGAAAUGAGUAGAUAUAGGAAGGAACACCAGUGGCGAAGGCGACCACCUGGGCUAAUACUGACACUGAGGUGCGAAAGCGUGGGGAGCAAA